rnacentral:rRNA from 1 species
GUUUAUUACAAUACUUUGUAAAUUCAAACUCCCGAAUAGUAGUGAGCUAUCCAGUUAUUAUAUGUUACGUUGUAGAGUAACUGCAAAAUAAAUGAAUAGAGGUGAUAGGCCUCUCAAGCUACUUGAUAACUGGCUGUAUAGGAAAAAUAUUUAGUAGUAUGUCAAACUAAUAAUGUUAAGCUUGUUAGUUUUCAUGAAAGGUAAUAAUCUGAGGCUAUAUAGUGUAAAAGCUUACGGCAAAGAAUACUUAAUAUUUCAUUUACAUGUUUAUAUUGAUUACUAUACCUAUAGCUUUUACUACACAUAUAAUAAUGUAAAUAUAAGUAAUAAUACAAUUUAUAUCAAAGGAACUCGGCAAAUAUUCUGCUCAACUGUUUACCAAAAACAUAACCACAUGUAAUAUCAUAUGUGGCUAUUUCUGCUCCAUGGUUAACUAAAUAGCCGCAGUACUCUGACUGUGCAAAGGUAGCAUAAUCAUUUGGCCUCUAAUUAAGGUCUGGCAUGAAAGAAACUAUGAGUGGCAGCUGUCUUGAUAUAUAUUAACGAAUUUAAUGUUCAAGUGCAAAUACUUGUAAAUGUAAAAUAGACGAGAAGACCCUAGAAGCUUAGUUAUGUUUUUGUUGGGGCGACAGAAUUACAAUAAACUAAUUCUAUAUAACAUGAUUUUUAUAGUAAGUAAAAGCUACUCUAGGGAUAACAGCAUAAUAUUUUAAAGUUUGUGACCUCGAUGUUGGACUAGGUAUGUCACCCCUUAGAAGGGGGAGUCAUAAGCUCUGUUCGAGCUCUUAUACACCUACAUGAUCUGAGUUCAGACCG